GGGACGCGGGCGUGCGGGUUCCCUGCCAGCUGCGGGCACCCGGAGCACGCUGGCCGCCUGAGCUCGGCGCAGGGCCCGGAGCCCGGAGCCGGCCGUCCCCUGCCCACUGGGUGCUGGGCAGCAGCCCGGGCUGCGGCAGCCCGGCUCCCGGGGAGCGCGCCCCGCCAUGGAGUCUUCGCACAAAGACGCCGAGACGGCGGCAGCGGCGGUGGCAGCAGCGGACCCCCGGGGGGCGUCCUCGUCCAGCGGGGUGGUGGUGCAGGUCCGCGAGAAGAAGGGCCCCCUGCGCGCCGCCAUCCCCUACAUGCCCUUCCCGGUGGCCGUCAUCUGCCUCUUCCUCAACACUUUCGUGCCAGGACUGGGGACGUUCGUCUCGGCCUUCACCGUACUGUGUGGGGCCCGCACCGACCUCCCGGACAGGCAUGUGUGCUGCGUCUUCUGGCUGAACAUCGCGGCGGCCCUCAUCCAGAUCCUCACGGCCAUCGUCAUGGUGGGCUGGAUCAUGAGCAUCUUCUGGGGCAUGGACAUGGUCAUCCUUGCCAGCUACAAGGAGCAGGGCAUCCCACAGCAGCUGUGAUCCCGGCCAGCCUCCAGGAGUCCAGGUCACCCCGCGAGGGCCCCAUCUGGCAACGGCGGGCAUGAGGACCUUGCCUGUUGUCUUCUGCUGUUUCCUGGUUUGGAGUGGACGGGGAGGGAUCUGAAGAUACCAUUUACUUUGGAAACGUACCUGCUUUUCUCAAAAGGCCAAGCCAGCUCUGUGAGGACCCCAGCUGGCCCCCUUCCACAGCUCACUGAACACCGUUUCCGGCCCACAGUCCGUUUUCUGAAGUCCUUGGAAUGGAUGGGUCUCUGAGUUCAGAGAUGUUGGGUCUGAGAAAGAGAGUAGCAGCCAUGUGCCCCACGUUUCCUAACGCCCGCAGUCUGGAACAGCGCUCCGCCGUCCAACAUGCGACACAGGGAUGCCGCCCGCUGCACAGGGGCCGCGGGUCCCUUUAGGACACCUACGGUCGGACCCCACGGUGGGGCAGGGAUGAGCCCAAGGCGUCCAGGUGACUGCAGGUCAUGUGUCGAUCUGAAACAAGGAGGGAGAAGCUCCGAAAUGAUAGCGACAAGGCAGAUGUUUCCAAGUCUGGUUUCAUUUUCACUCUAACACAGGAAUUGAUAAUAUGGGAGACGGGCUCCUGGCCAAGUUUCCCCCACACUGGACUUUGUGCCGUGGGGCGUGCUUCUCUUUGAGGGGCUGUUUCUGUGGGUCAGAGGCUGUCAGGGUUCAGCUGGGGCUGGAGAAGGGACCUGUCUGUGUCUGCCCAUUUUUUUUUCAUGCUGCUCAGAGCCCCUGGCUCCAUUGAGAGCCCCGUUGGGGGCCACUGUUUGCACAGUCUUUGUUCUUAAACCCCCAGCUGGGGCAGCAGCCCCCCUGCCCCAUGCACUGGGCUUUCUAAUUACAGUCCCACCAGGGAAGCAGGCCUGGGGGGUCCCUGUGACCUGCACAACUUCCUGGCAUUCCCCCCAGAUGCUCGCCCACCCCUGCACCCCGAUUCGGGGCAGGUUCUCCACUCCUGGCCUGACCUUAGUCGCCUGUCACCCCUUAGUUGUGACGAGCAUCUCCUCGAGGCUGCAGGGGCUGGGGUGCCCUUUCUAAAGCCCUGGCACGUCUGUGUCUCUUCCCUCCUCCUCUCUUCCUGACGCUGCCCCGGCCUCUGCUGCUGUUUUCAUAUUUGGAAGCCGCUGCGUUUUCAAGGCGUGGGGCCAGAUUUGGUUUGAUCGGAGGGCCGGACCCUUUGUCCAGGCUGAGGAGAUGGCCGGCAGGCCCCUGGCUGCUCUCGAGGAAGCGGCGUCUGAGCUUGGAGCCUCCCCUCGAAUCAGAUAAAACAGCCUCAGCUGAUGGGACAACCGCGCAGAAGCCCAGCCACCCCCCCCCCCACGGCCCUCCCCGCAGCAGCUCCCCGAGUUCGCGUGGUCCCCUGGACUGAUGACAGGUUCCCCGUGAGGGAGGGUGCGCCCACUGUGGGAGGGGAGGGUGCUGUUCUCCUGGCUGUGGCUGGGGGGCGCUGCUGAGAGGGCACAGAAGAGAUAGCGAUUUGUGUCGCAGGUUUAGUGACACAAUCCAGACAGAGGUGGGAUUUUUUUUUUUUGAGUGACAGGAGUCACCAUGAGUCCCAGUGUGGAACAGCUUAAUGUGGGGGUUAGUGUACUUGGAAGGACGUCCCCAAACUUGGGAAGACAUCAGGCUCAGGAGGAAGCUCCUUUGCAGGCAGCGGCCGGUGGAAGAGACCA